GUCAAAUGGUUUAACACUUUAACUUUACUGGUUUAACAACGUUCACAUGUACACAGAAGGCGAUGGAGCCAUCACCUCCGGCCGGCAUCCUCAUCUCGGUGCCCACUUCGACGGUGAUGAUGAUGGUAACGGUGCCUACCUACCUACGUCAUUCAUCGGCUCUUAUUCUUAGGAUGCCUAUCGUCUUCCUCGCAGGAAGGUUCAAUCCUCUUUCAUCUGCUUCGUUUUCGCCCCUUCAUACGAACAGGAACGCCGCCUAUUAGGGUUCACUGCGAAACUCAACUCUCCUCUCAGAUACAUAUACAAAAGACAAGGUGCACAAGAGCUCGGAAGAAGCAAUUUACCUUAAUGGUCCAACGGGUUCAGAACAGAGGGCAUUUUUGGAAAUCACAAAUUACUACAACAAAAGUGUCAUUUGGGAUAUUGUAAACACACUCAAGGGGCGUGGCGUGGCGUGGCUUAAACUAUGAUCCGGAGGUUAAUUAUAACCAGAGUUUGCUGAUCGACUACACGGUAACGUGUAGUCAAUUUCGUUUCCCGCGAUCGUUCUCAUACCGUUGCACCAUUCGGAGUUCCGCCUUCACAAUGAACAGGUUGUUAAUUUGGACAUCCAAUCCCAAAUGUGUGGGCUUGGUAAAAUUUGCAAGUUGGUAAAAAUGAGUGCUGAAUAGGCGCACUAAAAAGGCGGGUCAGAAUCGGAGAUUAGCCAUAAACGAACUUUUCCAUCUCACCAUCAACUUCCAAAUAGCUGCAAGAAAGGCAAUCGAAGCAGGUUUUGACCAGCCUUCAAGAUUCACCUAGCAAACACACAAUCGACCAGUUCAUGAAAGAUUAAGUUUUUACCUCUUAUAGCGUUUAUGCUUUGUUUGUAUACGGUGCGACUUAAUUAGUAUGCCCCUAGCCGCAUCGCCGCAACGCGGCGGGGCUUACAUCUAGUAUGUAUUAAUUGACAAAUGGUCGGUACAAUAGUAAAGU
rnacentral:lncRNA from 1 species